rnacentral:rRNA from 1 species
GACGAACGCUGGCGGCGUGCUUAACACAUGCAAGUCGAACGGAAAGGCCCUGCUUUCAGGGUGCUCGCGUGGCGAACGGGGGUGUAACACGUGGGUGUUCUGCCCCUUACUUUUUGAUAAACCUUGGAAACAGUGUCUAAUAUUGGAGAUGACCGUUCUGGCGGUGUGGUGGUGGAAAGAUUGGUUUCGGUAAGGGAUGAGCUCUCGGCCUAUCAGCUUGUUGGUGGGGUGAUGGCCGACCAAGGCGUCGUCGGGUGGCCGGCCUGCGAGGGUGGACGGCCACACUGGGAGUGAGUGACAGCCGACACUCCUACGGGAGGCAGCAAGGGGGAAGAUUGAACGAUCAGCGCACGCCUGAUGCAGCGACGCAGCGUGGGGGCUGACGGCCGGCGGGUUGGAAGUUCCUCUCUGCCAUGUGGAAGCACUCGUGGUGACGGUAAUGGUAGAAGAAGCCCCGGCUAACUACCUG